CAUGAAAGCCAGCCCUGCCCUGACCCUGCAGCUCUGGCAGAGGAGCCCAGAUCUGGAUUCCUGGGUCCUCCCAUUCUGUGAUCAGCACUUAACACAGGACACUCACCAUGGACUCGGGGCUUAUUUGGCUUUGUCUUGUUGUUAUUUUAAAAGAUGUCCAGUGUGAGGUGCAGCUGCUGGAGUCUGGGGGAGGCUUAUCGCAGCCUGGAAAGUCCCUGAAACUCUCCUGUGCAGCCUCCGGAUUCACCUUCAGUAGCUACGGGAUGAACUGGGUGCGCCAGGCUCCAGGAAAGGGGCUGGAGUGGGUUGCAUACAUUAGUGGUAGCAGUAGGACCAUCAACUAUGAAGACGUGGUGAAGGGCCGGUUCACCAUCUCCAGAGACAAUGCCCAGAACACCCUGUACCUGCAAAUGAACAGUCUCCAGUCUGAGGACACAGCCAUGUAUUACUGUGCAAGAGAGGUACUUCGAUGUCUGGGGCCAGGGGAUCCUGGUCACCGUCUCCUCAGAGAGUCCGUCCUCCCCAACUGUCUUCCCCCUGGUCUCCUGCGAGAGCCCCCUGUCUGAUGAGAAUUUGGUGGCCAUGGGCUGCCUGGCACGGGACUUCCUGCCCAGCUCCAUUUCCUUCUCCUGGAACUACCAGAACAAGUCUGAAGUCAACCAGGGUGUCAGAACCUUCCCAACACUGAGGAUGGGAGAGAAGUAUGCAGCCACCUCUCAGGUGUUCCUGCCUCCCAAGAGUGUCCUCGAGGGUUCAGAUGAAUACCUGGUGUGCAAAGUGCACCAUGGCAACACCAACAAAGAUCUACGCGUGCCCAUUCCAGUCGUCACAGAGAUGAACCCCAACGUGAGUGUGUUCGUUCCAUCCCGGGACGCCUUCUCUGGCCCUGCCCCACGAAAGUCCAGACUCUUCUGCGAAGCCUCUAACUUCAGUCCCAAACAAAUCACAGUGUCCUGGCUACGUGACGGGAAGCCUGUGAAGUCUGGCUUCACCACAGAGCCAGUGACUCCUGAAGACAGAGGUUCCGGACCCCGAACCUACAAGGUCAUAAGCACACUCACGAUCACCGAAAGCGACUGGCUGAACCUGAGUGUGUACACCUGCCGUGUGGAUCACAGGGGUCUCACCUUCUGGAAGAAUGUGUCCUCCACAUGUGCUGCCAGCCCAUCCACAGACAUCCAAGCCUUCCCUAUCCCCCCCUCCUUUGUUGGCAUCUUCCUCAACAAGUCUGCCACGCUGACCUGCCUGGUCACAAACCUGGCAACCUACGACACCCUGAACAUCUCCUGGUCUUCCCGAAGUGGUGAGCCACUGGAAACCAAAACUAAACUCACUGAAAGCCACCCCAAUGGCACCUUCAGUGCCAUAGGUGAGGCUAAUGUUUGUGUGGAAGACUGGGAUAGCGGGAAGGAGUUCGUGUGCACCGUGACCCACAGGGAUCUGCCUUCACCACAAAAGAAAUUCAUCUCAAAGCCCAGAGAGAUGAACAAGACCCCCCCUGCUGUGUACCUGCUGCCACCAGCCCGAGAACAACUGAUCCUGAGGGAGUCAGCCACAGUCACCUGCCUGGUGAAGGGUUUCUCCCCCGCAGACAUCUUUGUGCAGUGGCUUCAGAGGGGGCAACCCUUGUCCCAAGACAAGUAUGUGACCAGCGCCCCAAUGCGGGAGCCCCAGGCCCCACACCUCUACUUCACCCACAGCGUCCUGACUGUGACAGAGGAGGAAUGGAACUCCGGGGAGACCUACACCUGUGUGGUAGGCCACGAGGCCCUGCCACACAUGGUGACCGAGAGGACCGUGGACAAGUCCACCGAGGGGGAGGUGAACGCUGAGGAGGAAGGGUUUGAGAACCUGUGGACCACCGCCUCCACCUUCAUCGUCCUCUUCCUCCUGAGUCUCUUCUACAGUACCACUGUCACACUGUUCAAGGUGAAGUGACUCACAGCCUGAAAGACGUCUGAAACUGAGAAGCCCUCUCACAGGGACGUUUACCUCGGGGCCUGGGGUGGAACCUGCCUGUACGACGAGUAAACUUAUUCCUAUCUUUCCUGUGUCCCCCUCCUGCUCUGAGCUCAGAGCUGGACAUCUUUCUAGACUAGUUAAAGACUUUGUCAACCUGUGCAACCUGAAGCAGGGUCUGGACCACAUACAACUGUACCGGAUAUAAAUGUUGCUUGGAAAUAAAUACUUAUCCUGUGAACCCA